rnacentral:rRNA from 1 species
AGCGAACGCUGGCGGCAGGCUUAACACAUGCAAGUCGAGCGGGCACUUUCGGGUGUCAGCGGCGGACGGGUGAGUAACGCGUGGGAACGUGCCCUCUGGUUCGGAAUAACUCAGGGAAACUUGAGCUAAUACCGGAUACGCCCUUUUGGGGAAAGGCUUGCUGCCGGAGGAUCGGCCCGCGUCUGGUUAGCUAGUUGGUGAGGUAACGGCUCACCAAGGCGACGAUCAGUAGCUGGUCUGAGAGGAUGAUCAGCCACACUGGGACUGAGACACGGCCCAGACUCCUACGGGAGGCAGCAGUGGGGAAUAUUGGACAAUGGGCGCAAGCCUGAUCCAGCCAUGCCGCGUGAGUGAUCAAGGCCUUAGGGUUGUAAAGCUCUUUUAUCCGGGACGAUAAUGACGGUACCGGAGGAAUAAGCCCCGGCUAACUUCGUG